AAAACAAUCUUAAUAUUUUCUUGGCAAAACAUGUCAUAUUAAGUGACUAUCCUAGCAAUAUAUCAAUAUCAAGUUAUGAAUGAAUAAUGGCGGAUCUAGAAAUUGUUUUUAUCAGGGGCAAAAUUUAAAUUUCAAAACAUUAUUUAAUAAAUCUGCAGAGGCAGUUCUAAAAUUUGGUAAACAAUUAUACUAAAAUUAGAAAUGCCAUAGGGGGCAACUGGCCCAUCCAAAAUGUGAGUAGCUUCUCCCAUGUGCAUGGGCAUUUUCUUUAAAAAUUGUGAGCUUUCAAAAACAAAUUAUGUUUAUCCUGAGGAUAAGUGAAGAAAGAAGUAUUGUCGACUCUGAUAUGUUUACUGGUACUGAGAUAAGGUCAUAUCAAACGUUCGGAU
rnacentral:lncRNA from 1 species